GCGGUAGUGGCCAAAUGGUUAAGGCACAAGAUUGUGAAUCUUGGGAUUGCGGGUUCGAGUCCCGUCUAUCGCCCCA
rnacentral:tRNA from 1 species